rnacentral:rRNA from 1 species
AGCAGCCGCGGUAAUUCCAGCUCCAAUAGCGUAUAUUAAAGUUGUUGCAGUUAAAAAGCUCGUAGUUGAAUUUCGGGAUCGACGGGUCGGUCGCGCCUCUGGUGUGUACUGGCCCUGUCGGUUUCUCCCUUCUGACGAACCACGAUGUCAUUAAUUUGGUGUCGUGGGAAAUCAGGACUGUUACUUUGAAAAAAUUAGAGUGUUUAAAGCAGGCAUUCGCUUGAAUACAUUAGCAUGGAAUAAUGAAAUAGGACGUUUGAUCUUAUUUUGUUGGUUUCUAAGAUCGACGUAAUGAUUAAUAGGGAUAGUUGGGGGCAUUAGUAUUCAAUUGUCAGAGGUGAAAUUCUUGGAUUUAUUGAAGACUAACUACUGCGAAAGCAUUUGCCAAGGAUGUUUUCAUUAAUCAAGAACGAAAGUUAGGGGAUCGAAGACGAUCAGAUACCGUCGUAGUCUUAACCAUAAACUAUGCCGACUAGGGAUCGGA